rnacentral:lncRNA from 1 species
AGAUCAAAAAAUAUGCAGUCAAACUCAGUAGCCUCACUGCGAAUAGUCGAUGACACCGCAAGUCAAAGAACCACUCACACUACUACAGCAUCGAGAAGAUCACUGACGAGUGAGUAGACAUCCAAGUGAUUUCUCAUAUUGAUCACGCUCAAUGCAAGUUGUUCUCUAAUAAUCACCCGCAUCUUCACCUUAGUGUCUCUACACUGC